CACACACACACACACACACAUCUGCGGUCAUGGGCUAAAAUGGUGGGAGGGUUUGUUGGGAGUCUGAUGGGUCCCAGAGGAUGAUUUGGUUGAUGAACAUGUUACUCUAUAUCACUUGAUUUGGUUGUAUUUGCUUCCACGCAUCUGAACUAAAGUGGCACUUUUCUAUCCCACAAAACAAACCACCCAGGUGUCUUUCCUUGUUGCUUUUGGGGGCACCUUUCCCUUUUUUUGUUUUUAUUUUCCACUAUCUGGACUGUAGUUUUUUGUUUGUUUUAUUUUAGCUAUAAUAGUGUAUGGUUUGUGAUUUAGGUGUGUGUUGUGUAACUCCCUGUAAACACUCCACAACGGACACGGGGUGCAAGCAAUAAACACAACCUACCUGUAACCAGAAUCAGGGUCCAAACACAGAACUCCACAUUUCAGAUGCGGGAGAUCUGAGGGAGUGCCUGCUUCUCUCGCCCUUUCUCUCUCUCGCACGCUCACACACACAAACACACACACAAUCACCACAGUGAUUGCUAAAGUGGCUCGUUGCAUCCUUAUGAUAUGAAGGGCAGUGGCAUUAGCAGUGUGUCAUACCGUAUCUCAUUAAGAAUCUCUGAAGUGGUGCGUGGAUGUCAUUUAUGGUUUCUGAUGAGGGGGGAAAAAAAGUUUUCUGCUUUGUGUUACACUACAGAUGUACAGUUUCUCUCCUGUGUUCCUGGUCUUUACGCUCAGCCUGGGGUAGACCAGACAUGAGUUUAGUCUCCAGUGUAUCACUAAUUUACAGAAGGAAAGAGAGAAAGGGGGGGUAAACAUAAUGGUAUUUGUUCAAAUGUUCAUUUUGUUCUAACAGGGUGGACUGCUUGUGUACUUUUGAGUUGGUUUUGCUGGAUAUGUGUAAUGCCUUCUAGUUGGUUUCAACCGUGUGGAAGGAGCCUGACUCGGAAGCCUCCCCACCUGGGCAGGUAUCCAUAUACACUGCCUCAGCACUUGGAACUGUUUUUGAUGGUUGCGCAGCGAUCAGUCGUUGAUGUACUGGCACACACACGUCUGCCCUUCAGCUUGUCUGUGUAGACUUGUAUUUAAAGGGCCAGCUAUGGAUAUUUUACUGUUGAUGCUUUUUUUUUUUUUUUUUUACAUAUUUAAUUUUUUGUUUAAAGGACCAGUGUUUUCCUCUAAAGCUGAUCCUCCACGCUUAUUUAUCCCUUACUGUUGUUUAUCCUUUCAAAUAUGUGAUCAUAUUUGCCCUUUUCUUGUUAAAGAUCUCAUUGAGAGAAAAAUAAAGCAGGUUGUGCUUUCUAAAAAAAAAAAAAGUAUAUUGUACAAAUUCGUGUUUGUUUGGGUUGCACCAUUGGCCUCCUUGAAAGGCAUUUGCAGGUUGUCUGUGUGUUUGUGUGUGCGGGGACGAAUGGGGAAAAUAUGAACUAGAUUAGAAGAACUAAUACAUUUUAGACUGACACAUGAAAUAUGAACACGGUGGGCAGAAUUGUUAUUUCAGAUUCAUGGAUACAAUAUGAAUAAUCAGCAACAGGCUACAUUGAUGCUGUGGCACCAUUUCUACUGUAGGAAUAAAAGUUUCCUCGUGACGUCAUCAGAUUGCUGAAUUCCAUGCAUUCCUCGGCAGACAAGACCACCCUGCAACUAGUUGCCUGGAAGAGGUUUGCCUUUUUGCGAAGACGGAAGGAUGUCUGUUAAAGAGGGGAGACCGAAUGAGGGGCUAAUGAUGAUGCAGGAACUGGAUGAUCGCCUCAAAGAGCAGAUAGACAAGCUGGAACACAUCCGCCUCUCCGUCUUAGACCUCAAAGAUAACUUCUCCGGGAACUCUGCAAAGGACUUGAAACAGUCCAUUGCUGAACACGUGGACUGGUUGAGCCAUCUUACCGAGCGGGUGGAGACACUCCAGAUGAACACGUCUGUGUUUGUCCAGAUGAACACUAAGCCACGAUCCUGGAAAGGCAAGCAGGGCCUCCGGCAGUCUGCCCGCUGGGGUCGGUCACACCUGGCUGAGGACGCCCAGUCUGAGUAUGGAUGGUCCCCCAUUCGUACCCGACGCAACAGUGAUGCUGCCUCAGAGAUGUCCUGUGCCUGGUAACCCAGGUAACCAAGUCAACCACAAAGCUGCCUCCAGAAUCCUUUAGAUGUGCCACAAUGACCCAGAGUGAUGACCAUUCCUGACGAACAUGGGACUGUCAAAAUCAGUGUUGCACACGAAAAUCAAGGCUUUUUGUGUGUUUGUUAGUCUGCUUGUUUAUUUUGUCAGUUGUUAGCUUUGUUAUAGUAAACCAAAAAAAAAUUCUGAUAGUCUCUGAAUCAUAAAAUUAAAUGUUUGGAUGCCACAAUAAACAGUCUCAAAAGUUGUAUUUGCCUAGAUCCUACAUCCUCUUUAAUCCAUUUGUGAGUCAUGUUUUAAUGAAUUUGUCCUCAGUACUCUAGUGAAAAACAAACAUUAACUAUUCCAGUCAGCCACGAGAUAUACAGUUUUACUUUGUUACAGAAAUAAAUGUUUUGGUCUUAAAAUCCCAGUCUCAUGUUUAGGCAACGUUACUCGUGCUGUAGAUCAGUACAAAUAAUUAUUCGGAUGUAACCAAUAACAAGCAAAUUCAGAACCUUAUGUGUGUGCACAUAUUUUGUUUUGUGUGUGUGUCGGGUGAAACUAGGUUACUGAAGUAACAGAGACAGAAAGUUGCUAAACGAAUAAAUACCACGCUAGUUCUGGUGCAUUCUAGAAAAGUCGGAUUUUGUUUCUCCGGUGUGCCACAUGACUGUUGUUUUAAAUAAAUUCUAGGAGACUUCCAAAUGUGGGGCGUGCUUCAUGUGACGCAGUGCACUCAUACCAACAGUGGAAGUGGUGAGAAGAGCUGUCUUCUUGACCAUAAGAAACUGAAGAUUUUGAACGCGGCGUCAAUUCUUCCAGGGUUAUUUUGUAUAUUGCUUUAGUUAGUUAACUUAUUUGGAAACCAUGGCCGAAAGCGACUGGGAUUCUGUGACUGUCUUGAGGAAGAAAGGCCCGUCGUCAGCGCAGGCGAAAUCAAAGCAGGUAGUUAGCGAUAGCGUAGCAUUAUGGAGGUUAGGGAAUCAUGCAGAAAGGUUCCAUACCUGCGCUUGGCUGUAGCCUCUGCCCGAGCUGACGGGCGUGCUAAUAAAUCUCGGGGACUUGACACAUAUCGCAGGGCCACUCUUGGCUCACUACUGCGAGGUAAAAAAGAGCUUUGUGUUACUAAUCGUGGCACCUAACCUUACAGACAGAUGGUGGCUUAUUAGGGGGGCGGCAGUGUUGUUAUUCUGAUGUGGUUAACUUUCUUGCUGGCUAAAUCAGUGUUUCUCAAUGUGUGGUCCACGGGCCGUCAGUGUUUGAUUGUAACGUCAGAGAUAUUCUUGGAAACUGGUUGUGCAUUCAUGACGGAUACAUCUUUUCGAUACACAGCUAGCCAUCUAAACUGGCGAUGUUUGCAAAAUGCACCACGCAAGUAGGCAUCAGGAGCGACUGACAUUGGGUCAACAACAUGUGAAUCAAGUGAGAGACACGAAGAGGUUACGGUAAAAAGUAAGAGCCGGAACUGUUCCUGUCAUUUCCCAGGCCAUAACAGCUGCACAGAGGCGCGGCGAAGAGGUUGAAACCACAAAGAAAUGGGCUGCGGGUCAGAACAAGCAGCACCUGGUGACCAAGAACACAGCCAAGCUGGACCGGGAGACGGAGGAGCUGCACCACGUCAGAGUGCCCCUGGAGGUGGGCCGGGUCAUUCAACUGGGCCGCGCCAACAAAGGGCUCAGCCAGAAAGAUCUGGCCACGUAGGAUAGGCUGUAGGGGCAGGCCGAACCACAUGCCUGUUCAUGACCAUUACACAGGUUGUCAUGCAUGGGGAGUUUUCCAGAGAACCUGAAUCAUUGUUGAGGGAUUUCCUGCUUCCAGACAGUAAACUGACUGUUUGAAUCAACUGAAAAGGAAAAAAUCAAUGAGAAACCUCAGGUCAUUGCUGACUAUGAAACCGGAAAGGCAAUCCCCAACAACCAAGUAAUGAGCAAGAUUGAAAGAGCCAUUGGCCUGAAGCUACGCGGGAGGGAG